AUGGAGUUUAGCACCUCCAAAAACACAUUAGUUGAGCUUUUUAUUUCAGGUCUUUCAGAGGCAGGGCUCUUGAGGGUCAGCCCCUUCCUGCACCAGGGAUUACAGAUCCCUGUGGAGGGGUCCCAGCCUGGGGACAGCAUCCUUCCCACAGCAGGGCUGCAGCCGCCAUGCCGGGGGAGCCAGGGCCUCUGGGGGGGCUUGCCUGUCUUCAUGCAUAGCUCCCUGAUGCAGGAGCUGCCCUCGCUUUGGGAAAUAAUUCAGAGUGGUUUUUUUGCUUUUUUUUCUGUUAAUGAAAAUGACCGAAAACCAACAGGGGGGAUUAUUUUCUGCGGCCACCUGUGGGUAGGGCAGGUUGGAAUUAUUUUCCUGCAUGGCGAAUGCCCUGUGUGGCCCCAAGGUGCUGGUGGAUGCUUUUCCUCCUUACAGGUGUUCCUGGGAACUAAGAUUCAGAGAGCAAGGCUGCCUUUCUUUUUCCCAUUUCCACAUGGAGGAGAGGAAGGAAGGGUCAGGGAACGACUCUCCCCCCACCCGCUGAUGAGUCAUUCCUGACGGCCUGGUGCUGUUCAGCUCCUGUCUACAACACACAUCUCUGCUUCUGGGCUGGAGGAACAGCAUGUGUGGGACCCGAGCUGCUUCUCACAUCGGGCAGUGAGUAGGGAGCGGGUGGAGGGGUGAGGAUGCUCACCCUGAGCACGGUGAGAUUUCCCCUUUCCCUUCCUGGAUCGACGCUGAACUUUGGGCACAUUUCUUGGCUCAGUUGGCAGUUAUUAAAAUUCGCUGCUCACUUUUGUUUACAGUUGGUUAUUUACUUUGUUGAAUUUUUAAAAACUUGUUAGAAUGCAAUUGAACACAGAUUCAACAGUAUUUAAGCUUGAAAAAUAAAGAUGCAUUAGAAAGAUGCCUAUUAUGCUUC
rnacentral:lncRNA from 1 species